AUACGGAGGGUGCAAGCGUUAAUCGGAAUUACUGGGCGUAAAGCGCACGUAGGCUGUUGUGUAAGUCAGGGGUGAAAUCCCACGGCUCAACCGUGGAACUGCCUUUGAUACUGCACGACUUGAAUCCGGGAGAGGGUGGCGGAAUUCCAGGUGUAGGAGUGAAAUCCGUAGAUAUCUGGAGGAACACCAGUGGCGAAGGCGGCCACCUGGACCGGUAUUGACGCUGGGGUGCGAAAGCGUGGGGAGCAAACAGGAUUAGAUGCCCUGGGAGUCCACGCCGUAAACGAUGGAUGCUAGAUGUCGGGGGGUUGCCCUCGGUGUCGUAGUUAACGCGUUAAGCAUCCCGCCUGGGGAGUACGGUCGCAAGGCUGAAACUCAAAUGAAUUGACGGGG
rnacentral:rRNA from 1 species